UAAAUAAAAGAAAAAGGGGUAAGUAAAAAAUCUCCGGGAACCUUGUCGGAAGUUGUCUAGCUUAAGCCGGAGCCACAGCCACACAACGCCAACGUACAACAACUCUGGAGAUUCUUAAAAACUGUAGUAAAUGCAAGAAACAACGCAUGCAUGGUGAACAGUCUUUCUCUACAAACGAAAAUAGGCAAAAACAGUGUUAGAUAUCUCUCUUUCACAUGCAUGGGAUCACCGAAACCCUAGUUAACUAGCCGGUACACGUCAAUCAGACACAUGGAUGUGUGUUUUGUAGCAGGUUCACGGGGAUGUAGGAGGAUUGAAGAAGACAAGAAGCUAGAAUUUGUAGCAGAAACAGCGUGCGUGCAUGAAUGAUUGGUACGUGAAUCGUGAUGGAUGUGAUCUCACUCACCUACUUACCCAUCUUGGCAAUAGAAUAAUUAAUUAAGUUCCAUCGUCUACAGUGCUCUCUCUGCCAUUCUCACUUUUCUUCCGAUCCUCCUCUCUACUUUACUUCCUUCCAUAGUUCCAUAUUCCUCUCCUCUCCUCUCCUAUCGGGAGAUGUGAUCGGAGAGACCUGCUCCUGCCGUGUUGUCGACUGAGAUCGUCCGACCGAACCUAGCGAUCGGUCAAACUGAGAAUUGAACAGAAGAAAUAUUUAUGGCUCUACUGUGAUCAAAAGCUGCUUAUUUGGUAGUUAAAUAGUUAAUGUUCAGA
rnacentral:lncRNA from 1 species